UAGUCACGAUAUGGCUUGAAAUGAUUGUUUAGAUUUUUCUUCAAGAGUCCUUUGUUCCUUGGUGUCUUUAUUAUGACCCCAGCCACAUACUUUGUCUAUUGGUUUGGCAUACAAUCCUUACCUGUUAGGUCUCUUGUUUGGCCAUGCUUCCUAUUCAUGCCCAGAGUGGUUUGGACUGAGAUGAUUCACUUUCUUAUACCCUAUGGCUAUCUUAAAAGCCUUGCUCGCAUACGUAAAGCUUAUAUUGUUCAUAAAUUCUUGGUGUAAAUGUGUGUUUUCUAAACAAAACAAGGCUUGGAAUUUCCCUGUUACUCUUUGUUGUGCAGUCCCUAUGUGCAAGAAAAAGAUUAUUACAAUCUCAUGUGUUUGAGGUAUGCUUGAAGGCUCAUGAUUUUCUAGAUCCCUUGGUGGUGCUUUGAAUGGUGAUUCUUUUUUCUUAUCCUUGCAUCUGUAGUUGAUGAAAUUCCUGAAUGUGAUCACGGGGAUCACUCUUACCAUCGUAUUUGUCAUACUUUGGUAUAUCUAAAUUUGGGGGAAAAGGUACCAUGUUCAAUCUCCUAUCAAAAGGAUAAGGACAAAUGUCAUCUAAUGAAUAUCAUACCGUAGUCCCUUGUUGCAUGUCCGGCAUUUGUCUUUUAAGUGUUUGGAGUUGUUGUGUAAGAGCAGCUAGGGGCACAUUGGUCCUUCGAUGGGGAGCUUCCCCUCGUUCAUUAAGAUUAUCCCGAUUGCAGACAUGGUCUUGUUCGUGAGUGUUGUCUUGUUCAAGGGUGCGAUCUUAGUUACCUGCUCUGACGUUCACAAACACUUUCAGAAUUGUAGAAGCCAUUUCUGAGUUGUCCAUUUUGCUGGAUUUUACUGUCUCCCCAACAGUGUUCAGCUCGUGCUUUCAGGAGUAGCGGGGGGCUCAGGGUUGGGUGUUUACUUAGCGGUUUUUGGUGAGUGCUAUUUAUUUCUAGUAGAAUGGCUUAAUAUAAAAAUGAAAUGAAUGUCAAUGAGCCCUUGGUCUACUAGUGAAGUUGAAAGGUUCUAAAUGAGCCCACCAGGGAUCAAGUCUUGCUCAGUGCAAGGCUUUGACAUCAUAAGGGAUGAGGUUGGGAUCGUGCCCCGUAUUGGCUCAUGCCCCCGUAUCGGGUGGCAAAAACUACUUUGUGGACUUCUAUCCAAAAAAAGAAAAAUGAAAUGAAUUUUUUUAUCA